UGACGGUAUCUAACCAGCAAGUCACGGCUAACUACGUGCCAGCAGCCGCGGUAAUACGUAGGUGGCAAGCGUUAUCCGGAUUUAUUGGGCGUAAAGGGAACGCAGGCGGUUUUUUAAGUCUGAUGUGAAAGCCUUCGGCUUAACCGGAGAAUAGCAUUGGAAACUGGAAGACUUGAGUGCAGAAGAGGAGAGUGGAACUCCAUGUGUAGCGGUGAAGUGCGUAGAUAUAUGGAAGAACACCAGUGGCGAAAGCGGCUCUCUGGUCUGUAACUGACGCUGAGGUUCGAAAGCGUGGGUAGCAAACAGGAUUAGAUACCCUG
rnacentral:rRNA from 1 species